AAACACACACUCUGCAUUAUAUACACAGAGUGUGCAUUAUAUACACACACUCUGUGUAUAUAAUGCAGAGUGUGUAUAU